rnacentral:lncRNA from 1 species
GCGUAAGUGACGGUUUUUUACGGAGCGAUAUUGCGCGCUCCCGCCUCAACAAUAGUGACGUAUCGGAGCUUGUGUCUUGUGAAUUUGUGUCAGUGCUCAUGAAAAUCGCCGUAAGCUGUCUUAUGACCAUACUUUGGUAGGCGCGCGAUCUGAGUGCAGUCGGGGAAUGAGGAGCGGGGAGCCUGCAGUUUAGUAAUAAAAAUGUGUGACAGAUUUAAGGAUAGCAGGGGCAAAAAGUUACUUCAACUUUUAAAUUCUGAAAGUGACGAAAAUAAAGAAAAUUGUGAUUUAAUAUUAAGAAGAACAAUAAAUAAAAAAUGUUUUUUGUGUUA